GUAUGUAUAUAUGUACCAGUGAUGGAAAAUGUGCCAUUGGGAAUGAAAGAUUUAAUAGCAUGUCAUUGUGAACGAGAUAUGUGAAACGAAGAAGUAACUAGCUUUUAUGUGCGCGCAAUUUGAAUGAAUAAUUAAUGAAAGCCGACAAAUUAGAGAAACUGCAAUGGAUAAUUGGAUUGUUCGCAAGAAACGUGAAAAUGCAGCUGCAGGCAAUGAUGAGAACAAUAACGAAGAAAGCAACGUAGUUUCCGUGGCGAAAAAGUAAAAGUAUGAGAUCAAAUUUAAGAGGGAGUGGGCAUCCAAGUACAAUUGGCUCCAAGAAGACUCUACCGCAAAGCAAGGUAAGAGGUGCAUGAUAUGCGGUGUUCCAAUUUACGGCAAUAUGUUUCACAUCGAUCGGCAUUCAAAUUCAGACCUC